rnacentral:rRNA from 1 species
AGUGAACGCUGGCGGCAGGCCUAAUACAUGCAAGUCGAACGGCAGCACGGCAGAGCUUGCUCUGUGGGUGGCGAGUGGCGGACGGGUGAGGAAUACAUGGGAAUCUGCCCAGUCGUGGGGGAUAACGUAGGGAAACUUACGCUAAUACCGCAUGCGCCCUUCGGGGGAAAGCCGGGGACCUUCGGGCCUGGCGCGAUUGGAUGAGCCCAUGUCGGAUUAGCUAGUUGGCGGGGUAAUGGCCCACCAAGGCGACGAUCCGUAGCUGGUCUGAGAGGAUGAUCAGCCACACUGGAACUGAGACACGGUCCAGACUCCUACGGGAGGCAGCAGUAGGGAAUAUUGGACAAUGGGCGCAAGCCUGAUCCAGCCAUGCCGCGUGAGUGAAGAAGGCCCUCGGGUUGUAAAGCUCUUUUGUCCGGAAAGAAAAGCGCCGGGUUAAUACCCUGGUGUCCUGACGGUACCGGAAGAAUAAGCACCGGCUAACUUCGUGCCAGCAGCCGACGG